CACGUAGGGGGCGAGCGUUGUCCGGAUUUAUUGGGCGUAAAGAGCUCGUAGGCGGCUCAGUAAGUCAGGUGUGAAAACUCCAGGCUCAACCUGGAGACGCCACCUGAUACUGCUGUGGCUAGAGUCCGGUAGGGGAGCAUGGAAUUCCUGGUGUAGCGGUGAAAUGCGCAGAUAUCGGGAGGAACACCAAUGGCGAAGGCAGCUCGCUGGGACGGUACUGACGCUGAGACGCGAAAGCGUGGGGAGCAAACAGG
rnacentral:rRNA from 1 species